rnacentral:tRNA from 1 species
GUUCUUGUGGCGCAAUGGUAGCGCGUCUGACUUCUAAUCAGAAACUUGCGAGUUCGAGUCUCGCCUAGGAAG